rnacentral:tmRNA from 1 species
GUCAGUUGUUAGGAGGAGAGGAGACGGGACUGGGUUCAGAUAUUCAUAUAUGUCCAAAAUGAGCACAGAUUUCCCGGCAGGCCCCACCAGAUGUGCCACUGUGUUAUACUUUGAUGGUGGGAUUGCGGUGGGUAAGACCACCGCCCUGGAGGCUGCUGCUGAGUUUCUGCACAACAUACUUGUGAUCUCAGAACCUAUUCCUUACUGGACUUCCACUUUUGACAAAAAUGUCUGUCAGCAGAUCUACGAUGUGGUCAAGACCAAAGAAAAGGGGAAGAAGCACUCCAAAAAAGUGUUGCAAUGCCAAAUGGCCUUUGCCCAGCCUUUUCAUGCCACCCAGCACCUACUCCGCCGGACGUGUCUAGGUACCAAGGUCUCCGAUGGAACAUGUAACAAUUAUGUGUUGAUUGACAGGCAUAUGGUGUCUCCCACAGUCAUCUUUCCUUGCCUGUUUUUCAGAUUGGGGGUGUUGAGGUUCUGUGAUUUGUUAUCACUAUUGUCUGUGUUUUCAGCACAAAAAUUUGAUAAUGUUGUCUUGUUUAAACUCCAUCCCAAAGUAGCUGCGACCCGAGUCAAGGAGAGGGGGAGAAACCCAGAAGGUGUGAUCAACCACACGUACCUGCAACUCCUCAAUGAAGUAUUGGAUGCCAUUUUUUGUGCCUGGGAACUGUUGGCGAUCGUGCCUCCUGAAGUUAUUGUGGAUGCUAUGCUUUCCCAGACUUCAGUUAAGACUGUGUUUCAGAAGGCUGGCUUUGUUGCACCCAGGGCAAGGCUUAUGGAACAGAUGUUUAGAGAUAGUAUUUUUAAUGACUUGAGAGAAAAUGUGCGUCAGUUGCCACUACAUGGAUCAUCCAUCCCAACCUUGCUACAUAAAUUUUGUUAUGAACUAUCCAAACCACAUAUGGUUAAACUAGAUGCUGGACAGUUUCCUAACGAUGUUCCCGGUUUGUGGACUCACAUAUAUACCCAAAUACUCACAGACCCGGCUAUUAAAACAUGCGACCUGAAAUGGAAUAUCCUAGAAAAGGGCAUAUCUGGUGGAGACCCUCAGUAGUAAUAAAUAGCCAAGCACAAUGGUGACAUGUUUGAAAAAUUUGUUUCUUUACUGUAUCUUUGUGUCCAUGAUGGUGUGGUUGGUGCAUGGGGUAGGCGAUCGUGAUAGUAAGGGCGAGGGGGCCACAAUAAAGGUUAAAAGAAAUGAUAAUGGCGUCAUUUCAGUCUAUAUUGAUGGAAAAGAUUAUGCAUACAUUUUUAACGUGACCAAGGCUUUGCAAGAUCUUGGGAGGGAUCCUAUAAGACAAAUUUGGCGCCAUUCUGAUGUCUUUAAGCCACUGACAAGGACUUUGGCAGAAAGGGAUUCCAUAUUUGUAACCAAUGAUACAAUACACAUAGAUUCAGACAGUCUGUUUGUCUGCCCGGUUGGUAGGGGCUAUCCCACCAUUACCAGCCAGGUUCAGUGGAAAGACCUUCCCCCUGGCUAUCUUGGCAAAUUUGGGUGGCAAAAGAAUAUGGCCCUGAAGGAAUUUAAUGAAAAUGAAAGAUUUACCAUGUUUUCAGAGAAUGAGCGGGAGAAGACACUGGUGGUGGGGAAAGAUAAAUAUGUGGAAUAUGGAAGCCUGACCUGGAUGAUGCCUGAAUGGGGCGGGACCUAUGGAGUUGUGACUAAUAGUUUUGCCUUUGUCUCUGUCAACAUAACUGUGGAGUCCCAAGUUUGUUCUGCGUCCAUAAUUUUUUCCCAUAAUAAAGGUGGACCAAGUUUCAAAGG